CUUCUCUUUGACCAAAAAAAAUAUUUCUUCUCUCGCAUUCCUUCGCAAGAACUCUUCAUUACCGAUCAAAUAUCAAUCAAUCGAACAUUUCAGGACAGUUUUUCGUUCCGGCUACCUCUAAACACAUCGGGAUCUUGCAUGUAAAGAUCAAGAUAGAUCGCGGUCAGGUAACAAAGGCAGGGACAAAGAAUUCCAACCGACGAAAUUUAGCCUCACAACAGUCCGUCCAUUGAGAACAACCGCUGGUCAACUUGAUAGUUCCUAAGAUAAGUUUCCAAAAACAUUCAUGUUUGUGAUUUUGUUUUCACAGGCCAAAUCUUGAUAAUGUUAUACCUCAACGGUUGUUCUGAAUCGAAACUAAUGUGAUGCAGUCAAAUCUGACGCAGGUAACAAAGGCAGGCACCUAGAAUUUCAACCGACGAAAUUUUGCCUCACAGAAGUCCGUCCAUUGAGAACAACCGCUGGUCAACUUGAUAUAAGAUAAAUUUCCAAAAACAUUCAUGUUUGUGAAUUUCUUUUGACAGACCAAAUAUUGAUAAUGUUAUACCUCAACGUCUGACCAAAACACUUUAGAUGAUUAGUUAGGUGGGUUAGCAAAGUGACACGCAUUUAUAAAAAUUACAAUUAUGAGCAUAGGAAUCUAACUAUCAAUCACUCUGUUUAUAUAGUUUUUGAAAGUAGAACAGGAUAGCAAGCAUAAUCAUAACUUAAAUUUUAUUAGAAACCCAAAAUAAAAUGAUUAAAUAUAGCAACGAUAGGUAGCAAAGCACAUAAACAUAAUUUAAAAGAAAACCACAAUAUAGAAGGAAAAGAAACAACUAAUUUCCAAAAGUUGAACAAAAGCUGCACAAUUUUUUUUUUUUUAAAAACAAAUCUUCUUCUCAUAUUGUCUUUCAUGGUGCAUGUUAUACAUUUUAUAAGAAGUGUUUUAUAAGAAGUGUUUUUAUACAUAACAAUUAUACAUUUUCUCGAAUACGGAUAACUAUUAUUGUGUGGAAAAAAAAAGAGAAGAAAAAGCCAGCAAAUACAAUAUUUGGGUCUUAAAAGGAGCAGCCGAAAAAGGUAAUCACUAUCAACUCUACGGAUUUUUAUGCAUAUUAAGAUGCACGGUAGAACAUGCUAGAAAAAUAAAUCACAGAAAAUGUGAAGAAUAUAAAAUGUGAAGAAUAUAUAAAUUGAAUGAGGCUUUCUAUUAUAUAUUAAAAACGCACCAAAACCAAUUGAAGUCUGAAACUGGCUUCACAUAAACCGCAAUUAAAAAACAACUGAAAGGAAAAAAAAAACUUUGAUAUUAAAAUUCUAUAGAAAGCCUCCAUGAUAGAUCAUCUUGUUCGAUCUUCAGCCACUUUUUUCAACCUUCUCUUCCUUGAUUUUGAUUAGAACUGCACUCUUCUCACCGAACUCUGGUCAAAUGCUUCCUCUAAAUUCUUUACGGGACCACGUUGGCGCUUUGCUGGUGUCAUCUGAUCACAUGAAACUGAUCUGGGUGAUGACGAUCCGGGUAGCGUUAAAUUGCCCUACAAAUAUAAGAUAUGUAUAAGUGAUCUCCAUAUUAAAAAAAAACAAAAAGUCAAUAUAAUAUAGACAUAUUAACUCUCUCUAGGCAUAAUACAAUAUACAUACCUCAGGAGCUUCGGAUUGGGCUGAGUUAUAUGGCACCAUCGUGUCUUCACUCCCCUGAAAGAAACAUUUACAUACAGGUUAAUAAAUUGUACACAUAAAUCGUAAUGGAGAGUAAAGUUUCCGUCAGGUCUAUACAUUAGGCGACCCGAAUUGCUCGAACUCCUCAAUCAAAUCUUUGUUUGUGAUGAUCUUCAUAACCUUGUACGUAUCAUGUUUGUAUUGAAAAUUCUCCUUCUCAACACUUAGUUUAAAGAGAAACUUUUUCCCAACAAUACUACUCAGAGGAGGCAUAACAUUAGUCUCCUUUAUCUACAAUGCACAAAAUAUAUAUAAAUAUUAACACUAAAUUAUGUAAGACGAUAUUCAAAUAUAUAGUUUCACGAUAUACCUUAUCUUUUAGCAACGGUCCUGCCAGCUCAAUGCAUUGUUGACGAAGAAGUUGCACAUCAUGGUUAUCAAACAGAAGUAACUUUGUUGUCACUUUUGUCUCAUCAACAACAACCAAAUGCAACUUGUACCUAACUGACAAUAAAGUUAAUUCAUAUAUGUGUACAUACAAAAUUGAUGCAAGUAAUACAAAAUAUCUAAAAAAUCAUAAAACCAUGUGUUCCUCACCUUGGGAUAAUCGAAGGAUUAUAGGUGUUACAUUUGACACAAAAGUAUAUAUGCCCCAUCACAUCCUCGCUAGUACCAUCUUCAAUGGUAUCAUUUGGAACAGCUAAAACUUUCUUUGAACACACUUUGCAGCUGAGAUAGAACCAACCCAUAUCACCAUCAAUUGAAACAAUCAUGCUCAAGAGAACGCACCUCUCCGCUUACAAAAGUUAAAAGAUGCGGUAUCGUAUGACUCGUUCCUCAAAAAAAAAUGUUGAAACAGUGUAAUAACAGUUACUUGUUUUGUAUCCAAAAGCUCAGCGAUAUUCUUUCUCUGUGUGUUCACAAAGAAAUAUUCCUUAUCAGAGACACCAGAAAUUGAUUUGUUAGGAUUAGCCUCAACAAUGGAUAAAGACAUACUAUUCUUUUGGCAACCUAAGAACACAUGAGCAUAAUACAAUUAUAGUCAGAAAUAACAAAUGUUUCUAUCUACAAUAAUGCUUAUAAAACAUACAUUUCAAUAAAAGCCUUACCUUGUGCGUUCGUUGGAUUGACAAAGAUGUCAGAAACAUUGUACGCAUUUGAAAUGCUAUACUCAUCUGCCCCGAACAAAAGACCGUGAAAAUAAUUUUUGAACAACCACAAUAAAUGAAUCAGAAAAAAUACAAAAUUUUAUCUUUCCACACUUUAAUUUUCCCAAACCGUAACACAAAAAGAACCGACUGUCCAUUACUUCCCUAGACUGCAUCAUCAACAUCAUUGGCAAAUUUUCCCCACAAGACAACUAUAAGACGAUCAUCCCUGAAACAGAAUACAAUCAUAAUAAAUUCAGACAUGAUCAAAUAUUUUCUUAAACUUAAAUCUACACAAAACUCGGUAUAAUACACUUACUCUGAGUCGCGAAGUUGCAAAGCUAUCUUAUUUGUAUCCUUUCCAUUGACAGCAACAACUUCAACAUUACUCACCUCCACAAUCUGACCAAUUACAUCUGCAACAUAUAACACAAUUAGUUUUGAACACUAUUAUUAAAGAUAUAGCAGAAACAUUUUAAAUACCAAAGAAGAGUAGAGUAAAGGAACAUAGCACAACUCACCAACCAAGUAAUCCGGAUUCAUAGCCCCUUGAAAUACAUCUCUGUAUUUCAUAGGUGUGUAAUUGGGGACAUUGUCUGGAAAAUUAUCACAGAAACGAACACGGGUCGUCGAGAGGAAUUUUAUAAGGAUGCAUGGAAGUUCGAUAGGAACCUACAGACUGGGUUAGUGCAAAAUUUAAGAGUAUCUUCGUGUACCCUUGUUUAAGAGCAGGUUCAAACUGUGAAACCAACUCUUUCUUCAUUGAUGCAUGGAUUUUAUCACCCUAAGACAUAAAAGAAUAUAAAACAAUAAGUUAGUUAUUUGGAAUGUAAAAAAAUAAGUAAAAUAUAGCCAAUCGAUAGUAUAAAGAAAAAAGAACUACAAAUUUCUAAAAAAAUCAUACAAUGGCAUCAUUGAGAACCAUCUCCAUAGUUUCUCCACCUGCAGCCGAAUAUUGCUUCCAUAAUUUAAGCACUUUAACCUUAAUCAUCCACAUUGACUUGUAAGGUUUAAGCUCAGAAAUUGCACUGGUAGCCAUCAUUUUUUUUCCGUUCGAGAUGAACUUGAAUGUGUGUAUUGAAGCAUGAAAUGGCGAGGACUAUAUAUAUAGUCAUAGUAUAUAGGGCUCUCCUUGACUUCAACUUGAAGACAAAGCAAAUGAUUAAUGACAACAUAUAUACUCAUAUUAAUCACAUUCCUUGUGGAACAUCGUAUAAUAAAAACAUAUUUCCAUUAAUGUGUCCUUCAUAAAGAUUUAGGAAAGUAUGACGCCAUAAAAGGUUUGGUUGAGAAAGAGGUAAUACUCAUAUUCAACACAUUCGUUGUGAAAAAACUCAUAACAUAAAAAUUUAUUUCAUUGAAUGUUUCCUUGAUAAAGAAAUAGGAAAGCGAAUUAUUAAAAUAACAUAUAUACUCAUAUUAAUAACAUUCCUUGUGAAACAUCGUAUAAUAAAAACAUAUUUCGAUUAAUGUAUGACGGCAUAAAAAGUUUGCUUGAGAAAGAGGUAAUACUCAUAUUGAACACAUUCAUUGUGAAAAAUCUAGAAUAAAGAUAUAUUUCAUUGAAUGUUUCCUUGAUAAAGAAGUAGGAAAGUAUGAUACCAUAUAGGUUUCCUUACGAAAUAGGUAAUAAAUUUAAAGGUUAUCAAACAAUAGCAAUCCCUAAUUCGCAGGAUCAACCCUAAUAGUAAUAUUAUAGAAAUACAUUUGUCUCAUUUUCAUAUUUAUAUGAUAUCAUUUUCUAAAUCGAUUCUUGAUAACGUUGAAAACAAAAAUGGGGUCAAAUUUUAAUAUUUAUAUUAUAAAUUUUCUAAAUCAAAUUCUUUGCGUAAAUUUAGCGUCUUCUUAUCAUAGUAUGAUACAGAUAAUAUGAUCCUAACGUUCAAUUCAAAGUUAAUCGCCCUGACAUUAAGUUAUAUGCUAAAGUUGUACAACUAUGUGAAUGUUUUUUUCUUAUUAUAAGCAUCUCGUAUGACAAUGUCUCUUCGUAACGAUGUAGAUGCACAGAAUAGAAAGUAUGGCGUUUGGAGAGACAAAUGGUGCUGAGCAAGGGAUAUCUGACGUAGUAUGCAUAAAAGGCGUAGAUGGCGCAGACCGAUUCGUUUUUCUUGGUGCAAGAAGUAUUUGAGGAAGCCUUCAAUAUAGUGUGCUUGCGCGUUGCCAUGCUCUAAACAGAGUGCCUUGAACUUGGCAUGAUUCUUCAACAUGGCCAUCGAAUUCACAACAAAAUAUUCAAGACUCACGUUUCGGAAAUAGACAGCGGGAUCAGAGUUCAAGGAAUUUUCGUCGACAUAUUCAUCUUGGCUCUCGUGGGAAGGAAAAUUGUUAAAUGAAUUAUACGAUGACAUUGUUUCCCUGCAUUUUUCUCUCAAUAUCUCUCUCAGGUAUUUGCAUGAGAGAGUGGAGGAGAAAGUUAUAUAAACGAAAACACAAUUAUUUACAUUAGAAAAUUGUGCAAGGAUCAAACACAGAAGUGAUGGGAACUAUGCAGCUUUAAAAAAAUGUCUCAUAGAGUUGUCAUUUCGAAUUCUUGAUCAUUGAAAUAAAGAAACUGCAUGCAUCAUCUUAUUAUUUUCAAUGGUCAUGCACUUUUAGUCAAUAUAGGCGUGAUUGUUAUAUUGAUAGUUUAAGUUUAUAUAAAUAUGAAAUAAAGAUUGAUAAUGAAGAUACAACACACUUGA